CUACUGUGUAUUUUGUUAAUCUACUGUGUAUGUAAUUUUAGUGCUUUUUUGUCCAUCUUUGUUGUGGAAUAUUUUAACACCAAACAGCCUACUUUCAAUAAUAAUAAUAUUAAUAAUAAUAAAAAAUAGGUUGCCUGGCCUCGAUGUGCUCUCGCAACUCCUUGUGGCAAAUUGGCCUUCUAAUGGAGGAUACUCAAAUCAGAGUACUUUAUCUCACUGGAUUAUUUUCGUUGUGGUCAGAACAGGGCGAAUGAGGCGGAUGGAAUUGGCGAGCGGACGGGGGACGCUUCUGUCUGGUGCGGGUGAAAUAGGUUUACUGGAGUUGCCCGACUCGACGGGAUAAAAAAAAUCUGGUGGAGAUUUGAGAGUGUGAUGUCUCCCUUGCUGGACUGUAUCUGGUUUAUACGAACCCCAUAGAUUGUUACACAAUAAUUACGCUACCGGAUGUAUUUGGAUUGCGGCUUCCGCGGGUCACACUGUUAAAUGUCCUGCAAUACUAAAGCAGCUAGCAGUAACAGAACGCUGUAUGUCUCCGUUUGGGUGGAGUAUUGUAACUCGUCAAGACGAACAUAUGAGUGUUACAAGCGACAGACAAACAUUGCAAUACGCACUGUCAUGUUUGGAUAACAAGCAAAUAAGCUCGUUUCAAUUCCGAAGGACAAUCUAAUCGUCGUGGCAGACAUCGUCUUAUGGCGGGUCUGUCUUAUUUAGUGUUCCGUUUUUCGGGCUCCGCUGGUCGGACUUAUGGGGUGUUUUCAAAAGGAUUGACGAGGACUUUGUUGAUAUUUUUUGAUCUCGCCUGGCGACUGAGAAUCAGAUUUCCAUACCUCUACCUGAUCGCUUCGAUGAUGUUUAAUGUGCGAUUACAGGUUCAUAUUGAGAUUCACUGAGUCGGAACUUUCUGAAGUGGCCUAGGUGCUGCUUGACUACACAUUCAAAUCAGCCAUGUGGAAGAGGGUACCAGUAUGGGAAUCGAGCAUGAAAUUGUGCAGUAUGUCUCGACAUUUGUCUCUGCCACCCGUUGUAAUAGACACCCGGUGCCUUUGCUUCGGAAGGACACUUAUGAUUUCAUGAACAUUGGUUGCUGGGAUGCGCCAAGACCAAAGGAGGGAAGAGAAACACGAAUGAUGACAACAAUGGAAUCAAUGUUUUUGGAACCUUUCUGUUACUUCUUGGAGUUCUGUUUGACGUGUGUCUUCAUGGGUGACCUGACUUGUCAUCCUCGAAGGCAUAACUAGAACUGUGCAAUUUAGUUUCUCAUUGAAAUUAUCAACUAGCUUGUAUUUCCACAGCAUGACAUGAAUCAGUGCAUGUUUUCUUUUCUCAGUGGUUUUGGCACUUUUUGAGCAGUUUGGGAAAUGUCUGCAUUUGAGAGGGGUAGAACAGUGAAGUUGGAAAGUAGAAGUGGGGAGAUCCUUAUAGGUCAGAAAGGUUACUGUUAAAUAUUCAGCUUUCACUGUGAGACUGUUCUGCUUAUAUUAAUAGAAACAGCAGUUGGCUUAUGUAAUGUCCUCACAAUGAUUUGGUAUAGGAUUUUGCAGUGUAUAUGUAAGCAAAGCAAAGCCUAUCCCUCUCUCAACAUCUUAUAACAUACGUUAGAUGAAGGAUUCGGGAAAGAUAUGACAGCUGCAUGAUACACACGUCACAAACUUACCAGUAAAAGAGCUAACAAGGCACUUGGAAGUGUUUGGUCAAAUAAAUGGUUGAUUUCGUCUUUGGUCUACACUAAUUCAGUCUUACUCCUUGGUAAUACCUUUUGGUGUUGUUUUUUUUAAAUUUUAUUAAUGUAGUCACUGUUUUAAAGUGUAAUGAAUGUAAAAUGGUUGUACCCCUUUGAAAACAAUAAAUUAUUAAACAACCAUUUCUG
rnacentral:lncRNA from 1 species